rnacentral:rRNA from 1 species
CAGCCGCCACGGUAAUACGAAGGGGGCUAGCGUUGUUCGGAAUUACUGGGCGUAAAGCGCACGUAGGCGGAUAUUUAAGUCAGGGGUGAAAUCCCGCAGCUCAACUGCGGAACUGCCUUUGAUACUGGGUAUCUUGAGUAUGGAAGAGGUUAGUGGAAUUGCGAGUGUAGAGGUGAAAUUCGUAGAUAUUCGCAGGAACACCAGUGGCGAAGGCGGCUAACUGGUCCAUAACUGACGCUGAGGUGCGAAAGCGUGGGGAGCAAACAGGAUUAGAUACCCGCGUAGUCCCUGUCUCUUAUAC